rnacentral:rRNA from 1 species
CCUAACACAUGCAAGUCGAACGGUAACAGGAAACAGCUUGCUGUUUCGCUGACGAGUGGCGGACGGGUGAGUAAUGUCUGGGAAACUGCCUGAUGGAGGGGGAUAACUACUGGAAACGGUAGCUAAUACCGCAUAACGUCGCAAAACCAAAGAGGGGGACCUUCGGGCCUCUUGCCAUCGGAUGUGCCCAGAUGGGAUUAGCUAGUAGGUGGGGUAACGGCUCACCUAGGCGACGAUCCCUAGCUGGUCUGAGAGGAUGACCAGCCACACUGGAACUGAGACACGGUCCAGACUCCUACGGGAGGCAGCAGUGGGGAAUAUUGCACAAUGGGCGCAAGCCUGAUGCAGCCAUGCCGCGUGUAUGAAGAAGGCCUUCGGGUUGUAAAUACUUUCAGCGGGGAGGAAGGGAGUAAAGUUAAUACCUUUGCUCAUUGACGUUACCCGCAGAAGAAGCACCGGCUAACUCCGUGCCAGCAGCCGCGGUAAUACGGAGGGUGCAAGCGUUAAUCGGAAUUACUGGGCGU